rnacentral:rRNA from 1 species
CCAGACUCCUACGGGAGGCAGCAGUGGGGAAUCUUCCGCAAUGGGCGCAAGCCUGACGGAGCAAUGCCGCGUGAACGAAGAAGGUCUUCGGAUUGUAAAGUUCUGUCCUUAUCGAAGAGAGGGUAUAGAGUGAAAAAUGAUAUACUAGGACGGUAGAUGAGGAGGAAGCCCCGGCUAACUACGUGCCAGCAGCCGCGGUAAUACGUAGGGGGCAAGCGUUAUCCGGAUUUACUGGGUGUAAAGGGAGCGUAGACGGCGAUGCAAGUCUGAAGUGAAAGGCGGGGGCCCAACCCCCGGACUGCUUUGGAAACUGUAUAGCUGGGGUGCAGGAGAGGUAAGUGGAAUUCCUAGUGUAGCGGUGAAAUGCGUAGAUAUUAGGAGGAACACCAGUGGCGAAGGCGGCUUACUGGACUGUAACUGACGUUGAGGCUCGAAAGCGUGGGGAGCAAACAGGAUUAGAUACCCGAGUAC